rnacentral:rRNA from 1 species
AGUGAACGCUGGCGGUAGGCCUAACACAUGCAAGUCGAACGGCAGCACAGUAAGAGCUUGCUCUUACGGGUGGCGAGUGGCGGACGGGUGAGGAAUACAUCGGAAUCUACUUUUUCGUGGGGGAUAACGUAGGGAAACUUACGCUAAUACCGCAUACGACCUACGGGUGAAAGCAGGGGAUCUUCGGACCUUGCGCGAUUGAAUGAGCCGAUGUCGGAUUAGCUAGUUGGCGGGGUAAAGGCCCACCAAGGCGACGAUCCGUAGCUGGUCUGAGAGGAUGAUCAGCCACACUGGAACUGAGACACGGUCCCGACUCCUAAGGGAAGCAGCAGUGGGGAAUAUUGGACAAUGGGCGCAAGCCUGAUCCAGCCAUACCGCGUGGGUGAAGGAGGCCUUCGGGUUGUAAAGCCCUUUUGUUGGGAAAGAAAAGCAGCAGGUUAAUACCCCGCUGUUCUGACGGUACCCAAAGAAUAAGCACCGGCUAACUUCGUG